rnacentral:rRNA from 1 species
GCCUAACACAUGCAAGUCGAGCGGCAGCGGGAAGAAGCUUGCUUCUUUGCCGGCGAGCGGCGGACGGGUGAGUAAUGUCUGGGGAUCUGCCCGAUGGAGGGGGAUAACUACUGGAAACGGUAGCUAAUACCGCAUAACGUCGCAAGACCAAAGUGGGGGACCUUCGGGCCUCACACCAUCGGAUGAACCCAGAUGGGAUUAGCUAGUAGGUGGGGUAAUGGCUCACCUGGGCGACGAUCCCUAGCUGGUCUGAGAGGAUGACCAGCCACACUGGGACUGAGACACGGUCCAGACUCCUACGGGAGGCAGCAGUGGGGAAUAUUGCACAAUGGGGGAAACCCUGAUGCAGCCAUGCCGCGUGUGUGAAGAAGGCCUUCGAGUUGUAAAGCACUUUCAGCGGGGAGGAAGGCGAUGGCGUAAAUAGCGCUAUCGAUUGACGUUACCCGCAGAAGAAGCACCGGCUAACUCCGUGCCAGCAGCCGCGGUAAUACGGAGGGUGCGAGCGUUAAUCGGAAUUACUGGGCGUAAAGCGUACGCAGGCGGUCUGUUAAGUCAGAUGUGAAAUCCCCGGGCUCAACCUGGGAACUGCAUUUGAAACUGGCAGGCUAGAGUCUCGUAGAGGGGGGUAGAAUUCCAGGUGUAGCGGUGAAAUGCGUAGAGAUCUGGAGGAAUACCGGUGGCGAAGGCGGCCCCCUGGACGAAGACUGACGCUCAGGUACGAAAGCGUGGGGAGCAAACAGGAUUAGAUACCCUGGUAGUCCACGCUGUAAACGAUGUCGAUUUGAAGGUUGUGGCCUUGAGCCGUGGCUUUCGGAGCUAACGCGUUAAAUCGACCGCCUGGGGAGUACGGCCGCAAGGUUAAAACUCAAAUGAAUUGACGGGGGCCCGCACAAGCGGUGGAGCAUGUGGUUUAAUUCGAUGCAACGCGAAGAACCUUACCUACUCUUGACAUCCAGAGAACUUGGCAGAGAUGCUUUGGUGCCUUCGGGAGCUCUGAGACAGGUGCUGCAUGGCUGUCGUCAGCUCGUGUUGAGAAAUGUUGGGUUAAGG